ensembl:lncRNA
GAGAAAAUUCCCUCUAGUGGACAUGUUGCUUCUGUUCAGUGUCACAUGUCUAACUUCAGUUCAAUCAAUCCAGGGUUGUAUUCACAAGGGACCAAAUGAAAGCCGAUUGGGAAUUGUUUUGCUACUGUGUACUAAUGAACUGUCGCUGGGCAAAAAAAUACAGUCUUCAGGUACUGUAACUACUUAUAUAAUAAAUAAUGAUGAAGAUUAUUUUCCUUCUUUGUGCAGUAAUUUCAUACAUUUUCCUCACAAUGGGUUUACAGCUUUUGGUUCCUUAAAACUUAUGAAAACAGUUUACAUCUUAGAACAUGAAAGAAUGCAGAUUAGCCUCCCCAUCAAUUAUGAUUUUCAUUUGUUUAAAGAUUGUAGUAUUUAAAAACAACAAUUGAAAAUAUUUACAAAACCUUCCGUGUAACAUCUUUCUCACUGCCCUGUGUUUAAUGAACAGUAUCAAGGUGCGCCAUUUGAACAGGAAUUUCACAGUGCGAAAUAUACCCAGAAAUAUCACACAAUAUUCUGCAUUUUACAUGUUUUAUCUGGACAAAGUAAAAAAGCUUUAAUCUCAAUGAUAUCAUUAAUAAUAAACAAAGUCACAUAUAAAAACAUACAAAAUAGGGUAAGGUACAUAUGGGGUAAGGUACAUAUGGGGUACGGUAAAUAUGGGGUACGGUACAUAUGGGGUACGGUACAUAUGGGGUAAGUUACAUAUGGGGUAAGGUACAUAUGGGGUAAGGUACAUAUGGAGUACGGUACAUAUGGGGUAAGUUACAUAUGGGGUGAGGUACAUAUGGAGUACGGUACAUAUGGGGUAAGUUACAUAUGGGGUAAGGUACAUAUGGGGUAAGGUACAUAUGGGGUAAGGUACAUAGGCCUCAAGCAGACAUGUAUUGUAUUGCUUUUACAGUGACUUCUGUGAACUGUCUAGGAAAGAUGGGAAACCAUAAACUCAAAGUGACAAAUUAAAAUGACAUAUACUGAAUAUUGAAGGACAUACAGGACUGCCUUCGAGCUCCUGUCAAAAUGGACACAAAACCUACUAUUACAAUUUAGCUUAAAACAAAUUAAAUAAAAAAGAUCAUCAUUAAACCAAAAGCGAUGCUGAUGAACAAUAAAUAGCCUACAAGUGAGGUUAAUGCAUUAAUAGAUUAUAGUUUUAUUACAAUAUUAUAUUGUCUUUUUUUUGUACCUAUUAUCAAAUCACUUGACAAUCACUUCAUAUACAGACAGGAGUCCUCUCUCAUCUUGGCCUCUUACACUACGAAAUAACAUGUCUUCAUUUUGUUAGAAUUGGCAAAUAGUCAUAACUUUACACACAAACAUCUCAAGAGGUACAUAUGGGGUACGGUACAUAUGGGGUACGGUACAUAGUAGAGCUGAGCAAAAAUCACCAACAACAAAAAAGAUCAAAGAGCCCUGACUAGUUCCAUGCAGGCUGGCAUAGAGAUAGGUCAAUCAUAUCUGUAUCUACAGUGCCAACUGCCAAGUUUGCACUUAAGCAAGAAGGAACAGAUACUGUAGAAGGGUUGGAAGGAAUUGUGGGAGGUGUAGUCUUGCUGUGGACGGCAUUCACCUCAAGUUACCUCAAUACAGCAACAGAUUUCUCAGUCAAUAUGUAACGCCAUCACCAGCAACAUGAUAGCAGUAAAAUGUGAACUGAAACGAUCACUAUAUAAAUAUAAGACAAUUGCUGCCCCUUGCAGAACACAAAAUGUUUUGCAAUGUUUCUCCAAAAUGAUCACGAUCAACCAGCAGGUGAAGAUGUUUACGUUACCUUGAAACUGAUACCAAUUCUCUCUGAUUAAUAAUUGACUCUAGUCCAUCGUUUUUCAUGUUUACUGUUGCGUUCCAUUAAACUGACUUCAUGGAGGCGGGCCUGGGCAAGACAUAGACAUAGAUCUGCAUUUUCCAGCAGCAUAAAGAGGAAGGACAAAACAAAAGAAACUGCUGCGGUAGCACUGUUGAAGCAACAGGCUGGCUGUUGGUAACAAGGUUGGUUUAAUGUUACAAUAAGUUCCAGAUAUUACACAAAGUCAAAUCAAAGGAUGACUUCAAAAUGGCACCCUAUUCCUUCUAGUCAAAAGUAAUGUACUAUUUAGCAUAACAUUUCUUCUCAUACACAUUGUAGCAGAAUGAAAGCCCAGGGAGGACAGUGGCAGGCACAGCAGUAUCCAUUGAAACCUGAUGAUCAACAAAUCUUUGGUCAAAUGAAACAUGUUUUAUUGCACUGUACAGUCUUGCGAAACCUCAGAGGCGAAAUUAGUUUCACUUCAUCUUUUUGAAAAAGUGCUGUGUACACUCGUGAACAAUGUUCCCUCUAAACUGCGCAUGUGCAGCUCCCCGGGACUGAUAAGCAGAAGAAAUAUCAGCCCUGUGCGAGUCUGAACUUUACUCAACUUUCUAGAGUUUUCCCAGUUAGUUAACACUAUCAGUGUUUCCCUUUACUGUGGGAAUUGUGAUCGAAUGAACGCAAUAUCAGCCACUUUCAAUACAACAUACCAAAACAAAACAAACAGUGCAAUACUUACUAUGCAAAACUAAAUAUAUAAAAGAUUUUGUUGUAGGCAGAACGCAUCAGAGUAGGAUUCUAUUGCAUUGACAGGCAGACUUGUACUCUACACAGACCAGUGUGCCAUAACCAAUCAGAGCUGCAGUAGGCCUAUAUACAAAUAGACCAUUGUCAUAUAUAGAUCUGUGCCAUUCACUUUGAACUGGACUGCUUUUACAGCAUGAGCGGUUGUGAGUAGAUCAAAGCAAGAACUAUAUGUAGCGACUUGUGCACAUUUGUACAUUUGUUCACUAGUUAGUGAGUUAUUAGCCCAGUUAUUGAUAAUUUGUAGUCAGAAAUGGGGGGUGAUUGCUUCCUACAAGAACACAAAACGUGUGCAUUUCAGCCUUGAAUACACUAAGUAGCCAAAGCCAGAGGGUAGCAUAAUUUGUGUCAUUCUCUGGAAUAAUGGUAUGGGAAUAAUGAUGCAAGUGGUUUCUUGCAUCAAACAACACAACAACAUUUUCAAUCACCUCCUUGUUUGAAGGACAAGUGGAUAAACAGGUUCAUGUCAAGUCCUACAUGUUUUUUUCAAAAGUCUCAUGGAAUGUAGACUUACAUUGAACACCGCACAUUGGCUGCUACUGUUGGCUGAAUGACAGAACAGCUAUUUCCAUGUUAUAAUGUUAUGGGAUGCAUUUUCUCCAUUGUUUAUUAUGGUAGGCCACUCUGGUAGGCCUACAUUAUGAUCAAAUAGCCACAGUACCCUACUUGACCACUGUUAAAACUAACUUAAAGCAGGAACAACCUGUAAACCUGCACCGGAAGUUGCAAAGAAUUUUCACAGUAUUCAAAUUUGCUCUUAGCAGACCUGAGUUUUAACAAUCAUGCUGGUAGAAUCUACAGUUUACCUACACCAUGGCAACUCUGUAUAUAACCAUUUAUGUUAGGCUUUUAAACAUAGGCUGUUAAAGAGUUAUAUCAUUUGUAAUCAACCACAGUGCUUAAAGGCUGGCAUCCUCAGUAGAUUAUGAAGAAACAAAUGCCUCAAAUCAGAAUGACCUGAGUGCCAAAGUGACUGCCACCGAACACUUAACAGGAAACAGUCCAUCAAAGGACAGUGAAGGUGACAAGCUCCUUAUUGAUCGUCAAGGAAACAGCCCCUUCCAGAGACUGCCAGUUAACUAAUCAUCUCCUGUCGCUGUUUAGACCU